rnacentral:rRNA from 1 species
GUAGGUGGCAAGCGUUGUCCGGAAUUAUUGGGCGUAAAGCGCGCGCAGGCGGUUCUUUAAGUCUGAUGUGAAAGCCCACGGGCUCAACCGUGGAGGGUCAUUGGAAACUGGAGAACUUGAGUACAGAAGAGGAAAGCGGAAUUCCACGUGUAGCGGUGAAAUGCGUAGAGAUGUGGAGGAACACCAGUGGCGAAGGCGGCUUUCUGGUCUGUAACUGACGCUGAGGCGCGAAAGCGUGGGGAGCAAACAGGAUUAGAUACCCUGGUAGUCCACGCCGUAAACGAUGAGCGCUAAGUGUUAGGGGGUUUCCGCCCCUUAGUGCUGCAGCUAACGCAUUAAGCACUCCGCCUGGGGAGUACGGCCGCAAGGCUA